UAGGGAAUCUGCGGCAAUGGACGAAAGUCUGACCGAGCAACGCCGCGUGAGUGAAGAAGGUUUUCGGAUCGUAAAACUCUGUUGUUAGAGAAGAACAAGGACGUUAGUAACUGAACGUCCCCUGACGGUAUCUAACCAGAAAGCCACGGCUAACUACGUGCCAGCAGCCGCGGUAAUACGUAGGUGGCAAGCGUUGUCCGGAUUUAUUGGGCGUAAAGCGAGCGCAGGCGGUUUCUUAAGUCUGAUGUGAAAGCCCCCGGCUCAACCGGGGAGGGUCAUUGGAAACUGGGAGACUUGAGUGCAGAAGAGGAGAGUGGAAUUCCAUGUGUAGCGGUGAAAUGCGUAGAUAUAUGGAGGAACACCAGUGGCGAAGGCGGCUCUCUGGUCUGUAACUGACGCUGAGGCUCGAAAGCGUGGGGAGCAAACAGG
rnacentral:rRNA from 1 species